CACGUAGAAAUCUACCGAGUAGUGGGGGAUAGCCAGGAGAAAUCCUGAUUAAUACCGCAUGUGCACUAAGGUGUAAAGGAGGCCUCUUCUUGAAAGCUUUCGCUAUUUGAUGAGUCUGCGUCAGAUUAGCUAGUUGGUGAGGUAAUGGCUCACCAAGGCGACGAUCUGUAGCUGGCCUGAGAGGAUGAUCAGCCACACUGGGACUGAGACACGGCCCAGACUCCUACGGGAGGCAGCAGUGGGGAAUAUUGGACAAUGGGCGCAAGCCUGAUCCAGCAAUACCGCGUGUGUGAAGAAGGC
rnacentral:rRNA from 1 species